GAGCACGUGGCGGUUGUUGUGGUGCCUCCCGCAGCGGAGCGGGAGAAUGAGUGGCCAAUGAGGAACUUGUCGCUUCGCGGCAAACUAAGGGAGGACCAAUAGUGAGGACCCACGGGGGCCUCCAUGGGGGCGGGGGUAAGAUUACUCCUUAGUCGGUAACCAGGAAUCUAGGCUUCUUGAGACUGAAGGGGCGGGGCCGCGCGAGGCGGAGUGAUGCGAAACCCGGAAUUUGGCCGCCCUGCGCGGUAGGCCCACCUGGGCUGGCCCGCGAUGUGGGCGGUCUUUCUUCCCUCAGAGAACCAGAGCAGCAAAGGAGGUGCAUGGCAGCUUGUCCAAAACUCCUGCACGUCCAGGCCCGGCUGAACCUGCCCGCUCCAUGAGAAGCCACACGAGGGCCUCUGGCAGAGGGUCCGGGUUGGGGACUUGCAACUGCAGUAGGACAAGGGUGCCAAGGCAGGCUGGCGCAAGUUGGCGAGAAAGAGAGGGCCUUGUUAUUUUGGUGGAAAAGAGACACUCCAUUUAUUCAUUUUAAUGAAUAAAGUCAAUCAUUUAUUGAACACCAGCUGCCAGGCAUUGUUCUGGAUGCUGGAAAAAGUGGCCAACAGAAGAUGCUCUCCCUCCUGGUGUAGCCAAGAAGACAGGCACCCAAGAGCUUAUGCUAAAUAAGAGCCAGUGUUUGCUGGGCAGGGUGCUGAUGGAAAUAACAGCCAAGUGGAGGCUGGAGCGUUGGAUAGUGGGCCCCAUGCUACAUGAAGUGAUCUGGAAAACUCUGUGAAGAGGUGAUGCUUGUCACUAUAAGAAGAUCCUUGGGGAGUUCCUGUUCUGAGGCAGCGGAAAUGAAUCCGACUAGGAACCAUGAAAUUGCAGGCAGCAUGUGCCUGUGGAAACAAAGGGGAAGAAGCAGAAAUAAGAUGAGAAACAAGACGACUGCUGGAGGUGGACCUGGUGCCCCCCCCAUCUCCUGGCUCAUGGACCCCACAACUGCGGUGGGUGGGCCUCACUGCAGCUUCAGCCACCCCAUCCCCAGCAGCUGUGUCCCCAGUGGCCCUUCCUGUCUAGGUCAUAGGGUAUUUUUAGCACUGAAUCCGGAACUCACUUGGCAGCAGCUGCUCAUGGCCAGAGCACAAGAACAACAAACUGUCCAGGUGGGCCGUGCGGACCUGCCCUGCAGCAGGAGCGACCUGGGCCUGGCUCUCUGA
rnacentral:lncRNA from 1 species